ACAUGCAAGUCGAGCGAUGAAAUUUCGACAGAUCCCUUCGGGGUGAAGAUGAAAUGGAUUAGCGGCGGACGGGUGAGUAACACGUGAGUAACCUGCCUUAGACAUUGGGAUAGCCUCGGGAAACCGGGAUUAAUACCAAAUGAAAUCACAUAUGCACAUGCAUAAAUGAUCAAAGCUCCGGCGGUCUAAGAUGGACUCGCGUCCCAUUAGCUAGUUGGUGAGGUAACGGCCCACCAAAGCGACGAUGGGUAGCCGGCCUGAGAGGGUGAACGGCCACAUUGGAACUGAGAAACGGUCCAAACUCCUACGGGAGGCAGCAGUGGGGAAUAUUGCACAAUGGAGGGAACUCUGAUGCAGCGACGCCGCGUGAACGAAGAAGGCUUUCGAGUCGUAAAGUUCUUUUAUAUGGGAAGAUAAUGACGGUACCAUAAGAAAAAGCCCCGGCUAACUACGUGCCAGCAGCCGCGGUAAUACGUACGGGGCUAGCGUUGUACGGAAUCACUGGGCG
rnacentral:rRNA from 1 species